GGGGUAGUAGAUCCCCGUGAUGGUCAUUGCUUACUUUAAUGUCCAAGGGGUAGUAGAUCCCCGUGAUGGUCAUUGUUUACUUUAAUGUCCAAGGGGUAGUAGAUCCCCGUGAUGGUCAUUGUUUACUUUAAUGUCCAAGGGGUAGUAGAUCCCCGUGAUGGUCAUUGUUUACUUUACAAUACACUGUAUAAUACAUUGAUUUGUGUGAGUCUAUGGGGUUGAGGGUGACCUUUGGGAGCACUCCAUCCCCACAAAUACACAGCAUGUGUAUUCCCCAUAGACGAAAAAACCCAACUCCCACCACAACUGUAAUCGUAUAGAAGACAGCUUCUGACAGAUGAUCUUUGUGCUUUUCGAAGACGUCUAUAUUUCUCUUUCGACACACUUUAAAUAAUUAAUUGAUUAAAAUCAUGUUAUAUGCAUUUUUUGUUUAAAACUACAAAUUUGAUCGUAAGACAUAUAUUUGAGUAUUACCAUCACUCAUACUACAGCUGGAACAUCAGGGAGGCCAGGAAAAACCUGCAAUAUCUUUACAGGAAACCUGGAUGGGGCCAAGACAACCAGCAGCUUCCCCACAAAGCUUCUAUCUUACAAGUGC
rnacentral:lncRNA from 1 species